rnacentral:rRNA from 1 species
UACCAGCACCCCGAGUGGUCGGGACGUUUAUUGGGCCUAAAGCAUCCGUAGCCGGUUCUACAAGUCUUCCGUUAAAUCCACCUGCUUAACAGAUGGGCUGCGGAAGAUACUAUGGAGCUAGGAGGCGGGAGAGGCAAGCGGUACUCGAUGGGUAGGGGUAAAAUCCGUUGAUCCAUUGAAGACCACCAGUGGCGAAGGCGGCUUGCCAGAACGCGCUCGACGGUGAGGGAUGAAAGCUAGGGUAGCGAACGGG